CAUAUCCGUAAUUUUUGGAUUAGAUUCGGAACACCGCAGAUCUGAUAUCUGGAUACCCCUACGACGAUCUUUUAUGCAAAUCAUGAAAAGUUCCUUUUGUAAUCAUAAUUUAAAUUGCUCCACUUCAUCAAAAUUCAAUAUUAACAUGACAAAACAAUAGGAUGUAGUAUCCAAACCAUCAAGGAUUCAUCAAAUAAAAAACAAAAAUAUCAUGUGUUCAUACAACUUGGUAAAGUAGAAAUGAAAAUACUAACUAAAAAAUUAUUCAAAACCUAGUUUCUUAAUCAGAAGGUUCAAAUGCAUAUCACAAAAUUGAAUUUAACCCAAGAAGAUAUUGCUAAUUGCAUCAUCAAGAAUGAGGGGCAGAGAAAAAGAUGGUAGAUGAUUUUUUAAAAAGUAAUUGUACAUAUACACGUUGUGUUAUUUUUCUACAUUCCUAUGUUUCUAAUUUUUUCUGAUCUUUGAUUUUAUUAUUCCUUAUCUAUUCUGAAUAAAUUAUGAUCUUAAUGUAAACAAUUUUAAGGGAUUUGAUCACAUGGAAUAAUUGAUCCCUUUUAACAGGAUUAGAAUAUUUAUAAUAAAUGAAUGAACCAACCAUUGAGGCCCAUAAUUCAAUAUCAACACAAUUCUACUUUUUGACCAUUACCAUGGCCACAGCAAGUUCUUCAUGCCUUUGGUUGACAUCUUUUUUGACCUUCGAUAUGCAUAGACCAAGAUAUUUACCAGCAGCACACCCAUGAUUGUUUUAAUCCUUGGCUCUUGGAUGCCCUUAGUAAUGCGUUCCAUGAUUCCUUUUCUAUUUCUGCAGAAUUGGAAAAAGGUUGAUUUCUCGGUUUGAUUCUCAAUUCUGGAUCACAGAAAAGAGAAUUGCACUUCUUAUUUCUCUUUGUGUGCACAAGCCUCAAUAAUUCUUUUGGUUUGGAAGAGAUCAAUAGUUUGUUGAAGUGUUCUCACAUUUCAAAUAUAUCGUUUUCCUACUUCAAUUGGAUAACACUGCAAAUAUUUUUAAGAAGCUCACAGACGAGUUUAGUGUACAAUCCAUUAUGUGGAGUUGAGAAUUAAGAAGCUUGAAACUUUUAAAAGCAUUAGAGUUGAGGAUUGUGAAUUUGUGACGUGUUGUGUGUGUGUGUGUGGAUUGUGGUAUUGCGACACCUUUGCAUGAAAAUUGUGAAUUUGUGAUCCUUAAAAACGUACAUAAUUCUUACACGAUAUCAAUUGGCUGAGUUUGAGCUGUGUGUCCUUGGUAAUCUUUGCCCAGAAAUUGUGGAGGAAGCUAUUGCUAUGGUUCCAUCUAUAAAGGUGCGAGCUUUGAAUGAUGAUGCUGUAAAGCAGGUUGAUGUAGUCACACCCUCUAUAUCCGUACAGGUUUGUUAAUUCUUAGUACAGAAGAAGCCAUGAUGUGUUGCUAGACUUUUGCUCAUGUUCAUUAGAAAUCAUUCAAAAUCAUUAUGUGAUGCCAUAAUGGUUGGGUUGACAUUUCCCUGAUCUGCAUUUGAAAGUGCAUCCAUUUACAUGUGCGCAUUGAAUUAUUAGAUUGCAUAGAUAGUAGAGAACUAAUGAAUGCAGUAUUAAUAAAUCUUUUGUUUGUUGAUAAGUGCAAUAUUAUUUUGAGUGGAAUAUAAUUUGGUGAAGUUCAUAAGACUGAUGCAGCAACUAAGUGGCCUUUAUGUUCAUAUGAGAAUCGGCCCCUAUAUCUGUGCUGAUGGAAUUUCGGUAAUCAAUCAAAUGUCCUAAAGAACUCUGAAAAACUUUAAAGAACUUUAGCUUUAACUUUGUCAUUGGAAUGUCCUAAAGAACUUCAGCUUUAACUUUGUCUCCAUAAUCACCGAUUUGGUGAAACGAUUCUGGUGAGCAAUUACUUGAUGACGGGUCCAUCGUCACCUAUAGUGCCACCUGAAAUCGCAUCCCAUGUUCUCUGUGAUGUUGAUUGUGAUGGAAUCCUCAAGAAUAUAUUUGAAUUUUACAUGCUUGAUUAAAUGCCUAUAAAACUCUUUGUAUCUUGCUUUAUUUGUUCUAACUCAGACUGGAAGAUUAAGAAGUUAGGUAAUGAAUGCAAUGGUAAUCAAUAAGAAUUAACUAAUAUAUGUGACUUUGGACUUACGAGCAUUAGCUUAUGAUUUUACAUGACUGAAAUGGAGUUAAAAAUGUGUAGUCACAUUGCCUUCAUUACUUAUAUUCUAUUGGAUCUGAAGAAACUAGAGAUGCAAUGGUAGUAUAUUUUGGGAUUGUAGUCAGAUUCUAUUAAUGAAAUUGGAGAGAGAAUUUUAGGCUCUCAAUUGAGGA